GGGGGAAUUUUGGACAAUGGGCGCAAGCCUGAUCCAGCAAUGCCGCGUGAGUGAAGAAGGCCUUUGGGUUGUAAAGCACUUUUAUCAGGAGCGAAAUACGACGGGCUAAUAUCCCGUUGGGCUGACGGUACCUGAGGAAUAAGCACCGGCUAACUUCGUGCCAGCAGCCGCGGUAAUACGAAGGGUGCAAGCGUUAAUCGGAAUUACUGGGCGUAAAGCGUGCGCAGGCGGUUUUGUAAGUCUGACGUGAAAUCCCCGGGCUCAACCUGGGAAUUGCGUUGGAGACUGCAAGGCUGGAGUCUGGCAGAGGGGGGUAGAAUUCCACGUGUAGCAGUGAAAUGCGUAGAGAUGUGGAGGAACACCGAUGGCGAAGGCAGCCCCCUGGGUCAAGACUGACGCUCAUGCACGAAAGCGUGGGGAGCAAACAGGAUUAGAUACCCUGGUAGUCCACGCCCUAAACGAUGUCUACUAGUUGUCGGGUCUUAAUUGACUUGGUAACGCAGCUAACGCGUGAAGUAGACCGCCUGGGGAGUACGGUCGCAAGAUUA
rnacentral:rRNA from 1 species